rnacentral:misc_RNA from 1 species
GAUGAAGAACGCAGCGAAAUGCGAUACGUAAUGUGAAUUGCAGAAUUCAGUGAAUCAUCGAAUCUUUGAACGCAUAUUGCGCUCUCUGGUAUUCCGGAGAGCAUGCUUGUUUGAGUAUCAGUAAACACCUCAACUCCCCUUUCUUUUUUUGAAAUGGGAGCUGGACUUGAGUGAUCCCAACGCUUAUCUCACCGAAAAGUGGCGGGUUACUUGAAAUGCAGGUGCAGCUGGACUUUUCUCUGAGCUAAAAGCAUAUCUAUUUAGUCUGCCUAAAAAACAGAUUAUUACCUUUGCUGCAGCUAACAUAAAGGAGAUUAGUUCUUGUGCUGACUGAUGCAGGAUUCACAGAGACAGCUUCGGCUGGCCUUUGUAAACUCGAUCUCAAAUCAAGUAAGACUACCCGCUGAACUUAAGCAUAUCAAUAAGCGGAGGA